rnacentral:rRNA from 1 species
GAUGAACGCUGGCGGCGUGCCUAAUACAUGCAAGUCGAGCGAAUGGACGAGAAGCUUGCUUCUCUGAUGUUAGCGGCGGACGGGUGAGUCAUACGUGGAUAACCUAUCUAUAAGACUGGGAUAACUUCGGGAAACCGUAGCUAAUACCGGAUAAUAUUUUGAACCGCAUGGUUCAAAAGUGAAAGACGGUCUUGCUGUCACUUAUAGAUGGAUCCGCGCUGCAUUAGCUAGUUGGUACGGUAACGGCUUACCAAGGCAACGAUGCAUAGCCGACCUGAGAGGGUGAUCGGCCACACUGGAACUGAGACACGGUCCAGACUCCUACGGGAGGCAGCAGUAGGGAAUCUUCCGCAAUGGGCGAAAGCCUGACGGAGCAACGCCGCGUGAGUGAUGAAGGUCUUCGGAUCGUAAAACUCUGUUAUUAGGGAGGAACAUAUGUGUGAGUAACUGUGCACAUCUUGACGGUACCUAAUCAGAAAGCCACGGCUAACUACGUG